CUCUUACCCAAGCCUGGGACCCAGAAGCAGCAGUACCAUUUGUGCCAAGAAGCACACCAAGACCCACACCAGCCACCUGACUGAUAAGGGAGAAGACACCGCCCCACGUUUGGAAGCAAUCUGCAACAGUUCAUCUAUGUUAUGUAUCUGUAGUUUCCGCUUUAGUUCUCUGUUACCACAAUACUAACAUGUUACCCUUUUGGUACUCAUACCUUCCAUGGCCAGGCCCUACUGGGAGCAGCUUAAGCCCUGUCUCGAAGGUACAUACACAUUAGGCACACACACCAGAGGUGUACAACCCCCCCCCGACGCCCCCUUGGUUAGGGGCAUGUACCUCUUUUGGGAACCAAAUAGUCCUCCUGACACCACCUACUUCACUACUCUGGCUACCCAAACGACUGCCUCACACCCAACCCUCAUGAGCCACGAAGCUAAAAACCAACACUCUACAACCACCCUCGCGUCACUCACUCGUUAUUAACAAACACCCAGUAUGUUAAAACCCCGCAUCCACUCACUCUAACUAGCCCAUACAUACUGCCUCAAAUCGACCUGGUAGAGGAUCACCAUCACACAAUCUAAAUACGCUAGUAUGCACUGACUCCCCAACCGGGGCUACAACCCUACUACAUUUAUACAAAAAACGUGCGUAAUGUCCUUAAUGAUGUACCAGUUUCUUGCAAACCUCAUUCACUGUAUGAUAAAUGUUAUAAUGUACUAUCACAAAUGUGCCCGUCCUUGUUGUUGUGACAAGGCGGGCUUCUGUAUAAUUCGCUGCGCACCAAAAAU